rnacentral:lncRNA from 1 species
CCAGCUUUGUGCAAAAGAGUUAGCUCGGACCGUGAUUGCAGACUUGGAAAGGAUGGCACCCGUGUUACUGUGUAAGCUAGAGAAGAUCUUUCCACCCGGCUUCUUCAAUCCGAUGCAGCAUUUGAUUCUUCAUCUCCCGUAUGAGGCACGAAGGGGGGGGGGCCCGUGCAGGGACGUUGGUGCUAUUCAAUCGAGAGAUGUCUAAAGACUAUCCGAAAGAAAUGUAGAAAUAAAUGCAAAAUCGAGGCUUCCAUUGCAGAUGCAUACAUACUGGAGGAGGUGUCAAACUUCACAACAACGUACUAUGGUGACAAACUGCCGAGCGUGCAUAAUCCACCCCCUCGUUACAAUGAUGGCGGCAAUGAAUCGAACCUCAGCAUUUUUCGAGGGCAACUCGGAAGCGCGAGUGGUUCGACCACCAAGACCCUGAGACAUGAAGAGUGGCGCCAUAUCAUGCUAUAUGUAUUGACCAUCCUUGAAGAGGUGACGCCAUACAUGGAGCAAUUUCUUCAUGAAUUCUGGCGUCGAUCAAGGGACCCAACUCCACAGGAAUAUGAUAUCCUUCUUAGAAAGGGUGCGGGAAAUGGAUUGCCCGAUUUCAUGUCCUGGUUUAAAUGUAAGGUACGUGCUUAGUUUGUCAUUUGAAGUUGCUCUUACGUGCGAAUAAUAUAACAAUCUAGUGUGUUUGAACUUGCAGGGCCAAAGAGAGCCAUCUAUGAGUGCCGAGUUGAGACAAGUAGCCAAUGGCUUUGCCUAUAGGGUCAGGAAAUUUUCUGGGUAUGACGUCAAUGGAUACCGUUUUCGCACAACAAGCUACGACCAAAGUCGGCCCAAUUGAAAAACCAUGUGUUCUGGAGUCUUUACGCCCGGGCUUGACGAGGUCGAGUAUUAUGGAAGAAUUGAAGAAAUAUAUGAACUCAAUUUUUGUGGUUCCAAACCUCUUACUCCAGUGAUAUUCAAAUGUCAUUGGUUUGACCCUGAAGUUACGAGACGGACACAUUCUAAUCUUGGGCUAGUCGAAAUUCGACAGGAUUCCACCUUACCAGGAGACGAUGUCUAUAUUGUGGCCCAACAGGCCACACAAGUGUAUUAUCUUCCAUAUGUGUGCCAAACGAAACAACAUCUUAAGGGUUGGGAUGUUGUGUAUAAGGUAUCACCGCACGCUAAAUUACCUGUUCCAAACGAUGAAGAUUAUAACUUAGACCCGGACACAUAUGACAGAGAGUUCUUCCAAGAAGAUGGUCUAGAAGGGCGAUUUGAGAUAGACUUAACCGAAGCGAUCGGAAUGGAAGUAGAUAUUGAAAUGGUUGUUGAUGAGGAGGAUGAUGAGGUGCAAAAUGAGAAUGACUUAGAAAUGCUUGAAGGCAAUGCCAAUGACGAACUUGCGCCUUUAGAUGGUGUUGACUAUGAAAUGGUUGAUAGUGAUGAUGACACUUAUGAUCCGGCUAACCCGGACACAAAUGAAGAUUAUUUUUAAUCGAUGUAAUGCUAUAUUUCAUUUAUUUUGCAUAUGUUUCUAAAUACAUAUUUUUUUAUCUGUGCUUAAUUGCUUACUCUUAAUUGUAGGUUGUUGGACAAAGAUGGUGGGCGGUGGGACGAGGACGAGGAGGGGGAGGGGGAGGGGGAGGAGGAGCACCCGUAGGACGGAGGAGGAGGCGCAGCAGGACGACGUCGUACAGCAGCAGGUGGAGCAGCAAGCCGCUGUCGAUGCGACGCAGCAGGACGACGACGAUGCGACGCAGCAGGACGACGACGACGACGCCGCUCAGCAGGACGUCUCAGGUUCUGGCUCUUCAGGUUCGAGGAGCAUCUACCUGCGAGGUCCCGCGAGUCUCCC